CUUUCUUUUCCUCUCCAUCUCUCUGUCUCUCUCUCUCGAUCGAAGUCGAAGUCGAAUUGGCAAUGGAAGAAGAUGGAAUCAAAGGACAUGGAAUCAGAGGACAAUUAUGUCGGAGGAGAUGCGACGGAGAUUGAAUCGGCGGAGGCUAAUCGGAGGGCUCUUGAAUCGAGUCCGAGAUUGUAUCGGAGGAGAUUUGAUUUCGAGUCGAUUCAAUCAGAAGAGAUUGAAUCAAUUGGAAUAGGAGAUUAAACAUAUCUCAUGAGUCGACCGUUAUGCUCUGACAGGUUCAGAGACUCGAAUUGGAGAAACACAUUGGCUCGUCAUUUGGAAACUUCCGCUGAGGCAAUAGAUGAUGAGGGAGGCAGUAGUUGCUGCAAUCUUUCUGGUGAAGUGUCUACUUCUUGUACCGGUAACAAAGAAGAAAAAUGUGUGAGGUGAUACUGAUGCAUGUGUGAUACUGAUGACGGUGAUGAAGAAUGUGUGAGACCAGAUGCUUGUACUCAUGGACCCGUACUAAACCAAUUAUUAUACCUAAUGAGAACCGCCGAGAAGACUAUAAAAAUACGAAUUGCUCUGGCUCUUGCACAUCUUUGUGACCCUAAAGAUGGAAAACUGAUUUUGCAACAGGGGACUCAGCUCCUGCUUCACCCGCCCAACAGGUAUUUUUAGGUGAAAAGUUCGUGAACAACCCUACUUUGUCCGAUAUCACAUUCCUCAUUGAUACUCUAAGCAAGGAGUCGUACAAGGGCAGCACUUUGAUCAUGCAGCUCCUGAGAGACAACCUCA